rnacentral:rRNA from 1 species
CCUGGUGAUUUAGCUGGUGGGAAACACCCGUUCCCAUUCCGAACACGGCAGUUAAGACGCCAAGCGCCGAUGGUACUGCACGGGCGACUGUGUGGAAGAGUAGGUUUUGCCAGGA